UACGUAGGGGGCUAGCGUUGUCCGGAAUCAUUGGGCGUAAAGCGCGUGUAGGCGGUCCGGUAAGUCCGCUGUGAAAGUCGGGGGCUCAACCCUCGGAUGCCGGUGGAUACUGUCGGGCUUGAGUACGGAAGAGGCGAGUGGAAUUCCUGGUGUAGCGGUGAAAUUCGUAGAUAUUGGGAAGAACACCGGUGGCGAAGGCGGCGACCUGGUCCGAUACUGACGCUGAGGCGCGAAAGCGUGGGGAGCAAACAGG
rnacentral:rRNA from 1 species